CCUAGCACUGGAAGGACUCUUCAGUGGCUCAUGAAGUUUGUUCUCGCACUUCCCUUUCUUCUCCAGUCCCCACGCAGGUCUGAGCAGCUCCGUCCCACUCGGAGCUGCUCUCUCCCCUCCGUUCCCCAGCCAUUUUCUCCUGGGGAAAGGCUGAGCGCUGGCAAACGGCUACCUGAGGCCCUGAGCCGUGAAAGGAUGCUGUAGGAGCGCAAGGAACAAAGUCAAGGGCCGUGGGAAGGCAGCGCCGCGCUUCCCCCCAGCGCCGCCUCCGCCUCGCCGCCCCAGCCCAGCAGCAGCGGCCGGAGCAGGAUGGCAGCCGGGCCGCAGGGCCGCUUGAUUGCUUCGGCCUGGUGGGCAGACAAUGGGAGCAGAAAGAAUGGCUGCUUCCUUCCUUCCUGUCGAGUGUUCUGCCUGAGCGAGCAAACUCAAUAGCGCUGCGCUCCGCGGCAGCACCAGGCUCUCUGCACGGCGAAAACCAACAAAGAGCCCUUCUGGGGCACUUCCAGCUGCAGCCAAGCCAAGGCGCUGAGCUGUGGAGCCGGCCGGCGCGGCCCUGCUGGAGGCGGCCUGGCCAGCGCGGAGCAGCACAUGGGAGAAUUGGGCAAAGGAAGUGAAAGAUCCUGCAUAAUUUUCAGAUGAAGCAGCAAACAGGCACAACAAGAUACAAAUAAAAAUGCUAUUUUUUGUUUUCUUGUUACUGGCUGUGACUACAGCACUGCGAAACAUAGACUCAUACAAUCAAGCAGGUUGGAAGAGACCUCCAAGCUCAUCCAGUCCAACCUAGCACCCAGCCCUGCCAAUCAACCAGACCAUGGCACUAAGUGCGUCAGCCAGGCUUGGCUUGAACACCUCCAGGGAUGGCAACUCCACCACCUCCCUGGGCAGCCCAUUCCAAUGCCACUCACUCUCUCUAUGAAGAACUUCCUCCUAAUAUCCAGUCUAUACUUCCCCCAGCACAACUUGAAACUGUGCCCCCUUGUUCUGUUGCUGCUUGCCUGGCAGAAGAGACCAACCUCACCUGGCUACAGCCUCCAUGAAGGUAGUUGCAGACAGCAAUGAGCUCUGCCCUGAGCCUCCUCUGCUGCAGGCUGCACACCCCCAGCUCCCUCAGCCUCUCCUCACAGGGCUCUGCUCCAGGCCCCUCACCAGCUUUGUUGCCCUUCUCUGGACACCUUCCAGCACCUCAACAUCUCUCUUGAAUUGAGGAGCCCAGAACUGGGCACAGCACUCAAGGUGUGGCCUUGCAACUAGAAGAACCAAUUUUCCCAACUGAGAACAAUAAAUGGGGAGGUAAAAAAAAUGACAAGCAGCCCAGUUUAAUUUCAAACGUUAAUAUAUUUUCUAUUUUAUAGUGAACAUAUGCAUCGUUCACCCCUUAUAUCUGCAGCAACUGUGACGUCCUCAUAAAAAGGGGGGUGGGGGUGGGGUGACACUUGUAAGAUGCCUCUUAAAAUAAAUAUUUCUUUUUUUUUCUUUUAUAAAAUAAUAAAACUUCAAAUAAAUAUUCUUUACACUAAACAAUGUGUUGAAAAAAAAACAA